AAUCAACGCUGGCGGCGUGCCUCAGACAUGCAAGUCGAACGAUUAAAGCUCUCUUCGGAGAGCGUAUAGAGUGGCGCACGGGUGAGUAACACGUAAGUAAUCUACCCUCGAGUGGGGAAUAACGUUCGGAAACGAACGCUAAUACCGCAUAAUGCAGCGGCAUCGCAAGAUGACAGUUGUUAAAGGAGUAAUUCGCUUGAGGAGGAGCUUGCGGCAGAUUAGCUAGUUGGUAAGGUAACGGCUUACCAAGGCUACGAUCUGUAUCCGGUCUAAGAGGACGGUCGGACACACUGGCACUGAAUAACGGGUCAGACUCCUACGGGAGGCAGCAGUCGGGAAUUUUGGGCAAUGGGCGAAAGCCUGACCCAGCAGCGCCGCGUGAGGGAUGAAGUAUUUCGGUAUGUAAACCUCGAAAGAAUGGGAAGAAUAAAUGACGGUACCAUUUAUAAGCCCCGGCUAACUACGUGCCAGCCGCCGCGGUGA
rnacentral:rRNA from 1 species